rnacentral:lncRNA from 1 species
GAACAUUUGGCAAAAUUAUUUUAAGUAGCACUCCAACCUGUGAUCAUAAUUUCAAAUCAAGGAAUUUGCUGAGCAGCUGUGGGCAGAACAAAGGACCUGGGAGUGAUUUAGGAACCGGGGGGAGGGGAGGCUGCAUAGCCAGGACAGAAGCAGCUGGGGAAGCAGGUUGUCUGCCGGCUAGGCCCUGCCUUCGGUCUACACGGGGCGACAGUGCCGUUUCCAUCUGCUGAACACACCACGCACAGCACUUAAAAAUGGAUACACGGAGCAGAGGACUGAGAUUCAAUUUAACAUGAUGGCUGAGAGCUUCAGCUCAGGAGUGGGACGGACCUGGCCUUGAAUCCUCGUUCUGCCACUCAUCCGCCUUGGUUGAGUCAUCUAUAAAAUGGGAACAAUCGCAGCAACCACAUCUUAGGGACUAUUAUGAUAUGUAUACGUCAUAUAUUUGUCUGGCCUAGUUACUAGCACAUAGUAAGUGUUCAAAAUGCUAUUAUUAUUGCCAAUAUGCAGAAAUGGACAAUUUCUGUCUUUGCAAUCGAUUCAUUCACCAAACAUCUAUCCAGCACCCCUUGUGCUCUAGGUACAUGCCAGGAGUUGUAGGGGUGAUCUAGUCCAGCCUUUCAUCUUUUUAACAGAAUUUCUGAUGGAUGAUAGUUGAGCUUCUGCUCAAACUCUGCUAGGAACGGAGAGCUCACUACUUCAAAAGGACUCCUACCACACCAUGGCUUGCCAAGCGGUGCCACAUCCCCACCUGGGAUCUGAACCAGUGAACCCCGGGCCGCUGAAGUGGAACAUGCGCACUUAACUCCUGUCCACUGGGCCAGCCCCUAGAUAAUUGCUUCAACUCUUCACUUCUCCUGAUCUUUGUCGGAUAGCCUGUUCGGUCCCGGCAGCCAUCUGUUCCUACUCCUCAACUCUCAUUUCUUUGUUUGACCUUCAUUCCUCAUCCUUGGCCUUAAAGUCAUCUUUGUAUGCACACCUGCCUUCAACAUUUGUCCAGUCAAGUAAGUUCCCCAUGCAUAGACACAAAAGAUGAAAGAACACUGCCAAACGAACUUUUAGCAGUUGAAAUGGUCCAGGAUCGGGUGACAAAAUAUUACUUGAUGAAGUCUUUCCCCUGGAGUGACUGACUGAGAACAUCAUAUUUCCUUUUGGUCCACAGAAAUAUAUCAUUCACCCAUCAACUUUUGAAUUUGAGAAAAUUCAUUGAGGAUAUUGUUAUCUGAAGGCUUAUGGUCUGAGAUUUCACUUAUAUGAUCAAUUUCGUCUUUGUUAUUAGAGUCUAGACCUCUGCUGUCUCUGCCUUCAUUUCUGAUUCAUCUAAGAACUGUGACACAUCUUUCUUUAUUUUUUCUCCCUGCCAUUACAGACAGAAAGGAAAAAAUUCUAAAUUUUCAACUGUGUUCAAUGCAAGCUACAAAAAUGGUGUCUCUAUUCUUCUUUUAUAUCUCCUUAAAGAUGAUGCCACAUCAUGCCAUACUUUCCCCAAUGCAACAGGAAUACAGAGAAUGAUGCAACUGUGAUAAUUUCACUAUUGUAUCAUCCUUCUAAUCUAGGUCAUUCCAGCACCCUUCUUCUUCUUCUUCUCCUUCUUCAAUUCUUCUUCUAAUUCUAAUUCUUCUUCUUCUUCUUCUUCUUCUUCUUCUUCUUCUUCUUCUUCUUCUUCUUCUUCUUCUUCUUCUUCUUCCCCUCGUCCUCCCCCCCCACCUUUUUUCUUAGUAUUAUUCAGAAUAAUUCAUGAGUAAUGAUGAAGUAGAAAACAUGUUUCAAGAUAUGGGAAAAAUAAGUACCCUAAGAUCCAUAAAUGUCACUUAGAUGUAUAAAAG